rnacentral:lncRNA from 1 species
CCAGAACCUUCUGCCUGCCUAAGGCCGAAUAAUGCUCUGCUUCUGAGUAUGCUGACUUGGGUUGUCUGUUUACCUCACUGCUGGCUGCUGGCUGCUGUCCCCCUGGGAGCUCCCUGCUUGGCUGCUGUGGCUAAUGCUGCCAGGAGGUCAGUUGUCCAAGAAUCUCUCUCUUCAGGCCCUUCUUCCAGUUCCUCAGGCGCCACAUCCAGAAGCAGGAGAAGAACCUUAGGAGCAGUGUCCACUCUGCUCACAGACCCUGUUCAUCAUGGCUCCAAUGACUCUCGAUUUCCAUCUCUGCUGUGUUUCUUAGCCAGCACGGGGCCUGCAACUACAUCUCCUAUCUGGAUGCUGUGUAAGGAGGAAGAAUGGACCCUUGCAAGGACACAGCUACCGCCCAGGGGUGCCUGGCGAGACAGAUUCUGCAAAUGUUUGUCAGCUCAGAGCCAGGUCUAGAAUGUGGCCUCUCUGGAGCUCGCUUGUUGGCUCCCCCAGAUGCAUCAUGGAAGGAGUUCCGCAUGCUCUGAGACAGUUUCUUCCCAGGAGGGGAUCAGCUUACUGGUGUGGACAAGAUCAUGUGUGUGUUUGUGCGCGCGCGCGCGCGUGUGCGCGUGUGCGCGUGCGCGUGCAGAGACCAAGGCAGUAAGAGACCCAACUAAGACUACCCACAGAUUUCUAGGCUAAGCAAUCUGAUGCGCUGGUAACAGUAUCUGGCACACAGGAGUAGUUAUGGCAGUGGGUUUUAUUACUGAGGCAAAGACACGGGGGGGGGGGGGGCGAAGAAGAGGGGCAGCAAGAGGUAGAGAAUAAUUUUGGUUUUGAAGCCUCCUCAAUUUGACAAAAGGCUGAGCUUAGAGAAUGUGCCUGGCAGCAGGCACAGGGAGGGCACUGAGACAUCACGCUGAAGGAGCUGCAGUGUGGCUCAGCCCGCCAACCAGGUCCCCCAGCUCAGCUCCUUGCUGUCCCCAUACGUCAUCUGGGCCUCAUCCUCGUUUGGGGGUGGGGUGGAGGGGGAAGAGAGGUUUCUUUGCAGAUAUGUAUGAUUAAGUAACAGAGAAAGGCCCUUGACCCUCCAAGGCCUGCAAUGAUACCACACUCUGUCUCCUUCUGAACACACCUGACCUUGAAGUCACCCCAGCUGGGCUGAUUUACGACAUGUUAAUGUGACUGUUUCAAACUCCAUUUUUCUGUCUGCUUUCUGGAUGGAGAUGGACAAGAGCGAGGUCGGGGAGGAAGGGCCUUAUUCCUGACAAGGCUGGCUGCUGUGGUGGCAGGUCCCAGCACCCUGCUCCCCUCUGCACUGUCUCUGUCCUUUGGGUGCAAGGGAGCGAUAGUGAGGGUACUCCUCCCACACCUUUGUGUUAACAGCGUAAAUAACCACGCCAGGUAACUGUCUGUGUUUGCCCCAGCCCCUCCCUGCUGUGUUCUGUUUCAAUAGCAGAAACUAAAGGAAACCAGGCUUCUGUGACCACUGAGUGCUGCCAAUUGGCCUUUGGGAAGGCAGCUCUAGUCAUUUUGGGGUGUGUAUGUGAGUGUGUCCUGGGCCAAGACUAGCGAAGCCUGAGAAGAUACUCGUGUUAAAGGCCACAAGCUUAGGCAAAGCUUGCAACUGAAAGGCAAAAAUAAGUAGCCCUGUAAGAGACAAAGUAGCAGUGAACAUGGGGCAGUGGUGUGGAGGCAGGCAUUAAGAGGCCCUAGGGACAUGCUGCCCAGGGUGGCGGCCUUGCUGUGGAGAUAGGCUGACUGUUUUCAGCUGGUUGGUUCUCAGAUGCCUAGCUGCCAUGGGAAGGCUGUGUACUGGCUUCCUCCUGAGCCCUUGUGCCGAAACUGGCAGGGAAAUUCAAGCUGGCUUAUUACCUCAUCGACUUUCCCCUCUCUGCCCCCGGGGAGAGUCUAGUGUGGAAAGCAGCAGGACCUUUUCCAACACAAAUAAACCAUCAUCUCGGGAGUGACCAUGAUGCUAGAGAUGGGGAUAGGGUUUCACUGAGAAUGCAGGACUUCCCCAGGGUCACCCCCCUCCCCCAUCAAGGAUGCAGGCCAAUCUGAGGCCUGAAAGAUGGAGACGUCCUCUGAAAAUCAGGUUUGGUGACUCUGUCCACAUAAUGGCUCUGAUUCACAGGAGCAGCGCUGUUUUCUGUGGACCCUUGUCUAGUUGUGGCGGUUGCUGGGAAAGAUGAAGUCCCCAGACUGGAGCUCAGGCUGCAAAGAGGCUGGCAUGGUAGGUAAUCUCCUAGAUGCCUUGGUAUUCUUGAGCCUAGAUUUAUUUUUGAGACUUACCUAAAGCCCACAUUCAUAUAUUACUACAAAGAACAAUGGUACAUGGAAACAUGGGACUGACUGCAGCGUGUGCGUAAGAACACUUUGUCAUUAGUGGGGCCAGCGAGUCAAACCAUCCAUCCCUCCAUCCUGGGCACUCAUGCUGCUCUGAGCAUGUCCUAAGAUUGGGCAAGAUGUUGAGUGCGAAGCAAAAUGUUCCCUGUGCAGGGCCCCCUGAGACUAUCUUGACUAGCAAUUAUUAUAAGAUGAUUAUAAGAUCAUCAGCUGAUUAUACAUGCAAUUAUAGGUAGAUAACUAUGGAUAUAAUUCAUGUAGUGUUUACACUUUUUAAAAAGCAGCGUAACUCACAUUGUACCAUUUGCUUUCCACAACAGCCCUGGCAGUGUCAAGGCAUCUUUAAACACACUCGUGAGCACACUGAGGUCCAGAAAACAAAGCCAUGGGCCGAAACCCAGGACCAAAAUUCCAAUCCUGGCCUGGUUCUAUGAUUCUAUUCUGUCUUCUAUGGCUUGAGCCCUGCCAAAAUCAUGUACUCACCAAAGGGAUAUUCAUUUGUUUCUUUGUGUGGUUCAUGGAUAGUUCCUGAACUUUGGGCACCAUCUCUUUCUUGGGUGGAGUAGAGAGAAACAUAAAAGAAUCUCACUCUUCUGUCUCUGGAUGGGGAAGCCUGGCAGUUUGGGUUUGAUAACUUGCUUACUUAUUUCUGCCUUGGCCAUGCUUCCCAAACCUGUUUGAACCCAAUGUUCUGAGAUGACAAUUUUCACUCUUGCUGUACCUGGAACAGCCCCAAAAGCUCAUUUUGGUGUCUUAUUAGAAUGAUUAAUAAUACUCAUUUUUGUGUGUGCUUGCAUGCUUAAAAAGUAUCCUGGCUUGGGUGAUAGACCACAUGAUCACCUUCCAGGGACACCCAGCACAAGGCUGCAAUUCCCAACUGAGAGCUGUGCACAAGAGAGCAACUCCAGAAGCCAAGGGUGCACAGUGAGAUUAAGUACCUAAGACAAGGUGCAUCUAGAAAGCAGACCUCAAUUUUAAAAGCCCUGUAAUUACACAGUAUGCAGAAAGCGCCACGAGUGAAGCUUUCCAGAAGCAGAGCUCACCAAAUAACCAUCUGUGCUUUAGUGUCGCCAGACUUCCUUUCAGAACAGAUCAGGUCAUGUGACUAGUUGGGUCCUUGUAAUGGCAGAAGCGAGAUGCCCCUUCUAGGCCAAGGCAAGAUCUGCUGCCCUCUGACUUCUACCUGUUGCUGAGAUGACUUCUGUCGCCAAGGCACCUGGAUACCGAGCCACUCCUUGACAAAAGCCCUCUCCAGCCUGCGUGGACCUCGCGUGAGAGAAGUCUAGGUGGCUGUGGGCAGCCCACAGGCUUCCGUUGCCGCUGCGUUACAGCUUGUCGUCUUAAUCUUGAAAUGAGACCUGGUUCACUUGAUCUCAUUAAUAAAAGGUCUGUGCUCCCCCUAGUC